ACUCACAAGCAUGGAGAAAGAGAGAGGGAGAAACCAAUGUCUCAUGAACAUGGUAAUUAACUCCAUAUUACUUUCAAGAUUUGAGGAUGUGCCAAAAGUUGACCCCUUGGGUGUGGACUGAAUACUGCUUUGGAAAUCAUGGAGAAUCAGUGCUUCAGAAACAUAAUUUACGGGCACAGUUGAUAGACAGCAACAUUUGCAGUGGAAAAUUCCUCUCACUCCCAGGUUGAAGGAUGGGGAUAACUCUUCUGGACAGGGAAAAUGUGCUUGGAAAUAUAAGCUGAAACCCACUUUCUGCCAAAAGAAGAAAAGGCUACUGCAUCUUAGAUUUUGGGGGGGUCCUCUGCCACAUUUCAAAUCAAUGGUUUGACCUUUAAAUUAAAAAUGUUAUAUUAGUUGUUACACAAAUAAAAUGCCCUAUUAUCCAAAUA